rnacentral:rRNA from 1 species
UACGAAGGGGGCUAGCGUUGUUCGGAGUUACUGGGCGUAAAGGGCGCGUAGGCGGCGCACCAAGUCAGGCGUGAAAGCCCUGGGCUCAACCCGGGAAUUGCGCUUGAGACUGGUGUGCUUGAGUACGGGAGAGGAUAGUGGAAUUCCCAGUGUAGAGGUGAAAUUCGUAGAUAUUGGGAAGAACACCGGUGGCGAAGGCGGCUAUCUGGACCGUAACUGACGCUGAGGCGCGAAAGCAUGGGGAGCAAACAGG